rnacentral:misc_RNA from 1 species
AACGCAUCUUGCACUCCUUGGUAUGUGUGAUAAUAUUUCUUAUACCCUUUGAUCGAAUGUAUCUGCUUCCAAUGAUUGACUUGAAUUGAUCUUGAUCUCAAAUCAGGUAGGAUUACCCGCUGAACUUAA